GAAAUUUAUUAUGAAAUAUUGGUUAAUUUUGUUUGCAGUCAAAAUUCUUCCAUUAGACUUUGGAGAAUUUUCAUAAAAAACAAUUUACUAUCUACUUUUAAAAUGGAAAAAAUGUCAAAAAAAUUCGCGAACUUUCCAAUUUGGGAUGAAAAAAGCAUGUACUUUCAAGAAGACAAUUAAAUCCUAAAGUUUAGUUUGACUUUUGAUAAAAUGAUCAAGUUUUGUUGACUUGACCAUUUAGGGCAUGUCGUUAAGUUUCCGUCAACCAAACAAUCACGGAGUUAACUUUCCGUUAGAAUCUCUCUUAUAUCAAAACGACAGGUCGUUUUGAAAAUUAGAAAAUAAGAAAGAAAAACAGCAUUUCAAGUGAAACGAAAUGCUGACCUUCUGAACUAAUAGAAGAUAUUCAACCAUUGAGCUGCAUUAACAUUUUAAUAUCUUACAGACAUAGUAUAUAUAUAU
rnacentral:sRNA from 1 species